UACGGGGGGGGCAAGCGUUGUUCGGAAUUACUGGGCGUAAAGGGCUCGUAGGCGGCCAACUAAGUCAGACGUGAAAUCCCUCGGCUUAACCGGGGAACUGCGUCUGAUACUGGAUGGCUUGAAUCCGGGAGAGGGAUGCGGAAUUCCAGGUGUAGCGGUGAAAUGCGUAGAGAUGUGGAGGAACACCAGUGGCGAAGGCGACUCUUUGGCCUGUAACUGACGCUGAGGCGCGAAAGCGUGGGGAGCAAACAGG
rnacentral:rRNA from 1 species